GACGAACGCUGGCGGCGUGCUUAACACAUGCAAGUCGAACGGACAGGCCCUGAUUUUGUGGGGUGCUCGAGUGGCGAACGGGUGAGUAACACGUGAGUAUCCUGCCCUUGACUUUGGGGUAAAUUCAGGAAACUGGGGCUCAUACCGGAUAGGAGCUCCUGCUGCAUGGUGGGGGAUGGACAGUUUCGGCGGUUGGGGAUGGACUCGCGGCUUAUCAGCUUGUUGGUGGGGUAGUGGCUUACCAAGGCUUUGACGGGUAGCCUGCCUGAGCGGGUGACCGGCCACAAUGGGACUGAGAGACGGCCCAGAAUCCUACGGGAGGCAGCAGUGGGGAAUAUUGCACAAUGGGCGGAAGCCUGAUGCAGCAACGCCGCGUGCGGGAUGACGGCCUUCGGGUUGUAAACCGCUUUCGCCUGUGACGAAGCGUGAGUGACGGUAAUGGGUAAAGAAGCACCGGCUAACUACGUG
rnacentral:rRNA from 1 species